GGAUGAACGCUGGCGGCGUGCCUAAUACAUGCAAGUCGAGCGAACGGACGAGAAGCUUGCUUCUCUGAUGUUAGCGGCGGACGGGUGAGUAACACGUGGAUAACCUACCUAUAAGACUGGGAUAACUUCGGGAAACCGGAGCUAAUACCGGAUAAUAUUUUGAACCGCAUGGUUCAAAAGUGAAAGACGGUCUUGCUGUCACUUAUAGAUGGAUCCGCGCUGCAUUAGCUAGUUGGUAAGGUAACGGCUUACCAAGGCAACGAUGCAUAGCCGACCUGAGAGGGUGAUCGGCCACACUGGAACUGAGACACGGUCCAGACUCCUACGGGAGGCAGCAGUAGGGAAUCUUCCGCAAUGGGCGAAAGCCUGACGGAGCAACGCCGCGUGAGUGAUGAAGGUCUUCGGAUCGUAAAACUCUGUUAUUAGGGAAGAACAUAUGUGUAAGUAACUGUGCACAUCUUGACGGUACCUAAUCAGAAAGCCACGGCUAACUACGUGCCAG
rnacentral:rRNA from 1 species